AAAGAAGGUGAUGCCGAAGCUGAGGUCGGAAAUUACGAAGAUCAGCUAUGGUCCCCAGAGUAGGUCAGCAUCAUGACUACUAAUUUCUGGUCGAUGGAAGUUGCAACUUAAAAUGCUCCAGAUUGUGCCUGCAGCCUGGCCUGUUGCCCACAGCGGUCUACCUGCCACACUGGGAAAGAUCGAGCAGAGACAGAGAAGAAAAGGAGGCUCCAUUUUUCAGGCUGCUCUCCCGCAGGCUCAUGUUUUGUGUUCAUGCCAGGCAGAGAACACAAAAUGUUCCAAUAAAUAAGUAUCAAAGGUUAGUGGUGAAAAUGAAGGAGGAGGAGGCAUUGCGUGAAAAACUAAACAUGCAAAAUAUUACACACAAAGAGAACCAAAAUGCAGGUUCACUGGAAAUGAUAGACAAUAUGUUAAAACAAGAGGAGAGAAGAGAGCUGAAAUAAUCAAAUGGAAACACACAAUUUAGGGCUAAGAUCUUGUUGUGUUCAGCCACAAAUGAUGGCCAGCAGUGAGGAAUCUGUGUGUUCUCCACACUCUUCGCUCCUGGGAAGUCAACUCACAUGGACCAUGAUAUCAAUAUCUGCUCCUUCCCCUAAUAUCUGUUUGACCUUGGGUCAGUUACUUAAACUUCCUAAGCCUUAGUUUCUUUGUCUGGAAAAUAGGGAUAGUUAUACCUACCACACAACCACUUUGUAAUGAAUAUGUUGGAAAUUAUAUGCAAAUUGGCUUCCGUUGGUGUUUGGAACAUAGUAGGUUUUUAACUGGAAUAUAAUAGCUACCAUUAUCAGUAUCAUCAUAUUAAUUUAUAUUUCCAUCUUCAGCCCUUAACCCAGGAUCUUCAGUAAAUGUUGAAUUCUCAAAUUUGUUAAAUUCACUUGUCUAUACUAAUAUUUUACUCUAGGUUUCUUAGAAUAUUCUAGAUAAUAUUAUUAUGUAGAAUAUGUUAUGUAAGCUUCAUCUUAUCUGUAAAUAUAGUUUUACUUUUUCCUUUCUAAUUUUUAUGUCGAUUACUUCUUUUUCUUGGCUUAUUGAAUUGGCUAGGAUUCCCGUACAGUGUUGAAUACGUGCAGCAAGACUGCACAUCUUGCCUUGUUCCUGGUCCCACAGAGAGAAUAUCCAGUACUUCACAAUAAGUAUGUGUUAAUUGUAGAUUUUAUUAGAUUGAGGAAGUUCCCUUUCCUUUCAAGUCAGUCUUUUUAUUUUAAACAUGUAUUGAAGUUUUGUCAAAUGUCUUCAUCUAUUGGAAUAAUUAUACAUAUCUCUUUUUUAUUCUGUUAAUAUUACAUUUCAAUCUUCUGUCUACCUAAAAUCCCUAGAAUAAUCUCCAUUUGGCUAUGAUGUGUUGUGCUUUUAUAUAUUACUGAAUUCUAUAUGCCAAUAUUAUUAAAAUUUUCUGUCUUUAU
ensembl:lncRNA CCDC26 CCDC26 long non-coding RNA